rnacentral:rRNA from 1 species
AUGGGUAUUAAGCUCCACUACAGCACAGCUUACCAUCCGCAAAUAGAUGGUCAGAGCGAACGAGUAAAUCAAUGUUUGGAUCAGUAUCUUCGUUGUGCUGUACAAGACAAUCCUCGUCAUUGGCGUUGUUGGCUAUCCAUGGCAGAGUUCUGGUACAAUUCCAGUUUUCAUACUGCUCUUCAAUGCUCACCAUUCCAAGCCUUGUAUCACAUCGCCCCAAAUUUUGGAGGAAUGCCUAACCUUACCGUGUCCAAUGACUCGCCAGCUGCUAGUGUUGUUAUCGACUAUAAGGCACAGACUGAACUUUUGCGUGCUCAGCUGAUACGAGCCCAACAACGCAUGAAGAGCUAUGCUGACAAGAACAGGACUGAACGUCAGUUUCAACCUGGUGAUCAAGUUUUGCUGAAACUCCAACCUUAUGCCCAACAAACAGUGGUCAAUCGUCCAUAUCCCAAAUUAUCCUACAAGUAUUUCGGUCCCUAUACUGUUCUGGAGCGCAUUGGUGCUGUCGCAUAUAGACUACAAUUACCAGUUUCAGCUCAGGUACACCCAGUCUUUCAUGUGUCCCAAUUGAAGCCAUUUACUCCAAACUACACUCCUGUGUAUACAAAUAUUCCUGCCGUGCCGGAUUUGACAACAGUAGCACCGGUACCUGUUGCAAUCCUUGAUCGUCGGAUGGUAUGCAAGGGCAAUGCAGCAACACCUCAAGUUCUCAUUCAAUGGGCACAUGUUCCUCCAGAGUGUGCUACCUGGGAGGAUUACUACGUCGUCAAAAGCAGAUUUCCUGAAGCUCUUCUGUGGGACAAUGAGCAAGCUCAAGCGGGGGGCAAUGUCAUGCCUUCCUCCAGUUCGGCGGACAGCGAGUCGCCGGCUCCUGACUCCCUGACGAGUGGACCGGCGAACGACGAUGACGUGGACGAUGAAUAG